AACGAACGCUGGCGGCAGGCUUAACACAUGCAAGUCGAACGCCCGUAGCAAUACGGGAGUGGCAGACGGGUGAGUAACGCGUGGGAACAUGCCCUUUGGUUCGGAAUAACUCAGGGAAACUUGAGCUAAUACCGGAUAAGCACGAGAGGGGAAAGAUUUAUCGCCGAAGGAUUGGCCCGCGUCCGAUUAGCUAGUUGGUGAGGUAAUGGCUCACCAAGGCGACGAUCGGUAGCUGGUCUGAGAGGAUGAUCAGCCACACUGGGACUGAGACACGGCCCAGACUCCUACGGGAGGCAGCAGUGGGGAAUAUUGGACAAUGGGGGCAACCCUGAUCCAGCCAUGCCGAGUGAGUGAUGAAGGCCCUAGGGUUGUAAAGCUCUUUCGGCGGGGACGAUAAUGACGGUACCCGCAGAAGAAGCCCCGGCUAACUUCGUGCCAGCCGCCGCUGUAACAC
rnacentral:rRNA from 1 species